AAAUUGAAGAGUUUGAUCAUGGCUCAGAUUGAACGCUGGCGGCAGGCCUAACACAUGCAAGUCGAACGGUAACAGGAAGCAGCUUGCUGCUUCGCUGACGAGUGGCGGACGGGUGAGUAAUGUCUGGGAAACUGCCUGAUGGAGGGGGAUAACUACUGGAAACGGUGGCUAAUACCGCAUAACGUCGCAAGACCAAAGAGGGGGACCUUCGGGCCUCUUGCCAUCAGAUGUGCCCAGAUGGGAUUAGCUAGUUGGUGAGGUAACGGCUCACCAAGGCGACGAUCCCUAGCUGGUCUGAGAGGAUGACCAGCCACACUGGAACUGAGACACGGUCCAGACUCCUACGGGAGGCAGCAGUGGGGAAUAUUGCACAAUGGGCGCAAGCCUGAUGCAGCCAUGCCGCGUGUAUGAAGAAGGCCUUCGGGUUGUAAAGUACUUUCAGCGGGGAGGAAGGUGUUGUGGUUAAUAACCACAGCAAUUGACGUUACCCGCAGAAGAAGCA
rnacentral:rRNA from 3 species